GACAGAGGGUGCAAACGUUGUUCGGAAUUACUGGGCGUAAAGCGUGUGUAGGCGGCCAUAUAAGUCGGCUGUGAAAGCCCUGGGCUCAACCCAGGAAGUGCACUCGAUACUGUAUGGCUAGAGUACUGGAGAGGUUGGUGGAAUUCUCGGUGUAGAGGUGAAAUUCGUAGAUAUCGAGAGGAACACCGGUGGCGAAGGCGGCCAACUGGACAGAUACUGACGCUGAGACACGAAAGCGUGGGGAGCAAACAGG
rnacentral:rRNA from 1 species